GAUGAAGAACGCAGCGAAAUGCGAUACGUAAUGUGAAUUGCAAAUUCAGUGAAUCAUCGAGUCUUUGAACGCACAUUGCGCCCCCUGGUAUUCCGGGGGGCAUGCCUGUCCGAGCGUCAUUGCUGCCCUCAAGCACGGCUUGUGUGUUGGGCCCCGUCCUCCGAUCCCGGGGGACGGGCCCGAAAGGCAGCGGCGGCACCGCGUCCGGUCCUCGAGCGUAUGGGGCUUUGUCACCCGCUCUGUAGGCCCGGCCGGCGCUUGCCGAUCAACCCAAAUUUUUAUCCAGGUUGACCUCGGAUCAGGUAGGGAUACCCGCUGAACUUAAGCAUAUCAAUAAGCGGAGGA
rnacentral:misc_RNA from 1 species